rnacentral:rRNA from 1 species
CCUACGGGUGGCUGCAGUGAGGAAUAUUGGUCAAUGGACGAGAGUCUGAACCAACCAAGUAGCGUGAAGGAUGACUGCCCUAUGGGUUGUAAACUUCUUUUAUAUGGGAAUAAAAUGUUCCACGUGUGGGAUUUUGUAUGUACCAUAUGAAUAAGGAUCGGCUAACUCCGUGCCAGCAGCCGCGGUAAUACGGAGGAUCCGAGCGUUAUCCGGAUUUAUUGGGUUUAAGGGGAGCGUAGGUGGAUUGUUAAGUCAGUUGUGAAAGUUUGCGGCUCAACCGUAAAAUUGCAGUUGAAACUGGCAGUCUUGAGUACAGUAGAGGUGGGCGGAAUUCGUGGUGUAGCGGUGAAAUGCUUAGAUAUCACGAAGAACUCCGAUUGCGAAGGCAGUUCACUGGACUGCAACUGACACUGAGGCUCGAAAGUGUGGGUAUCAAACAGGAUUAGAUACCCUUGUAGUC